rnacentral:tRNA from 1 species
GCCUGGGUGGCUCAGUUGGUUAAGCAUCUGACUUCAGCUCAGGUCAUGAUCUCGCAAUCAGCGGGUUUGAGCCCCACGUCAGGCU